GUCUACAACCAUACCACCACUGAACAUGCCCAAUCUCGUCUGAUCUCAAGAAGCUAAGCAGGGUCGGGACUGGUUAGUAAUUGGAUGAGAGACCCCUUGGGAAUUCGGGUGCUGUCAUCU
rnacentral:rRNA from 1 species